UAGUCCGCGCCGUAAACGAUGGACGCUAGUUGUGGGGACCUUCCACGGUUUCUGCGACGCAGCUAACGCAUUAAGCGUCCCGCCUGGGGAGUACGAUCGCAAGAUUAAAACUCAAAGGAAUUGACGGGGCCCCGCACAAGCAGCGGAGCAUGCGGCUUAAUUCGACGCAACGCGAAGAACCUUACCAAGGCUUGACAUAUAGGGAAAAGCAGCAGAGAUGUUGUGUCCGCAAGGGCCCUAUACAGGUGGUGCAUGGUUGUCGUCAGCUCGUGUCGUGAGAUGUUGGGUUAAGUCCCGCAACGAGCGCAACCCUCAUUCUGUGUUGCCAGCAUUUAGUUGGGGACUCACAGGAGACUGCCGUGGUUAACACGGAGGAAGGUGGGGAUGACGUCAAAUCAUCAUGCCCCUUAUGUCUUGGGCUGCACGCAUGCUACAAUGGCUGGUACAAACGGCUGCAAUACCGCAAGGUUGAGCGAAUCCGAAAAAGCCAGUCUCAGUUCGGAUUGGGGUCUGCAACUCGACCCCAUGAAGUCGGAGUUGCUAGUAAUCGUAGAUCAGCAACGCUACGGUGAAUACGUUCCCGGGGCUUGUACACACCGCCCGUCACGUCACGAAAGUCGUAACACCCAAAGUCAGUGGCCCAACCGCAAGGAGGGAGC
rnacentral:rRNA from 1 species